rfam:Perkinsus marinus ATCC 50983 gcontig_1104296095595, whole genome shotgun sequence.
GCCAUCUUAGCUUAGUGGUAGAGCGUCUGCUUCGUAAGCAGAAGGUCGUCGGUUCAAUCCCGGCAGAUGGCU